CAAGUGUACCUGGGAAACUUUUGACUGUUACACCAGAAGAGGAAAAACAGGGCCAGCUAUCAGGCGAGGUCGGAAAGCCUAUACAGACGUUCAGAGUUACACAGUGCACUUGACCGCAUCAUCACAUGAACAGCGUUGAGUGCGCUUUAUAUGAACAUCCUUUGUAUAUUUUAUGGGAAAGAGUUUAGUCACCGUCUUCCAUUGGACGUCUUCCAGACCAGCGCUUACAAGUAGACAAGUUUUCUUUGCCGAAUAAAUCAUCCGCUCCAUGUUGAGCAUCGGCCGAAAGAGACGCACUUGACCGUCAUCCCCACGUGCAGCGAUGAGCAGCCCGGGUGAAGCGACAGGUUGCCAAAAGGCCUGAUGAGCGGAGCCCGCCAGCCGUGGGUGGCGUCCCACUCUAUAGUCAGCAUGUGGUUGGUGAAGGCCGUCCCAAAUGCGGAAACGUCCUGUUCAGGUAUGGGAGCGGAGGAGAGCUGGAGGAUAAGGUCUGCUGCCUGGUGCACACACAGAAUCAAUUUCCUGAUUAAACCUGUUUACUUGUAUACUUUUUGUUGUAUGAAUAAUCUAAAAGCACAUCCCACAAUUAUGGGCACCACCAGCCCACCAACACAUACAUAUUGCAUUUCUUGUUGUGAUCAUGUAUACAUAAAGUGUUUUC